UGUUGGAUUCUCCCUUGGAAACCGCUGCCUGGAUUAAACGGAUUUUCCCCUUGACAAAGACUCGGACUGGACCUGGACAAAGAGCCCUGGAUAACCCCCUCUCGGACGCCAUCGAUAUAAGGAGUCAGAGUUCUGCCCUCAGCACGUCCAGGAGUGGCCAGUCGCAGAGUGCGAGCCGAGCCAGGGGACCGCGCCGCCAGCGUCAAAUAAAGACUGUUAAAGUUUUGUA